CUGGUGCAAGCCGGAGUUGCUGGAGGAGCAAAAGAAACCACCACAAAAAGUGGAGAAGAAUAAUAGUCGGUGGAAAAAAGCGAAGAGCCAUGAGUGGAGAAAACGGUGAAAAUAAGACGCUGGCAGCAAUAAAACAGUUGGUGAUGAUGGUAGUCACGGUGCUUAUUUUACAGAUGGAGUACUAACAUAUGUAAUAUAUUUUACGUUUCAUUUCUAUUAUAUGUAUAUAAUAGUAUAUAAUAUACAAAAAUAAAAAUGUUCUUCAUCUUAAAACAUUUUUUACUAACUGACGAACAAGAAGGUGCAUAUCUCCAAACUAUGCGAUCAAAAGGUUGUACUAUUAUGUUACAAUAUAUGUAGGAUACUCCAAUUACAAAUAGAUCCACAUACUCAUACAUUGGUUCAUAUUUAUAAAUCUAUUUCAUUUACUGAUUCACUCAUAUGGAAUGACCUAGAAAUGGAAUAAAAACAACCAGAAUAUACAAACAGGAAAUCCCCACAACAUUCGUGGUAAGACAUCCCCAAAUAUUGAAUCUCACAUGCAACACAAAAGACCAAACGUAUCAGUGCAAAUAUCGGCUCUAAAAUCGGAACUUAAAGUUCAAGUUCUUUCUUCAGUCACAGACUAAUCUCGAACUGGAAAAAUUAUUCACAGAGGUGAUACAUCAGGGUCGCGGAUUUCGAUUUUAGAAUCGACGAAUCUUGUGUCUCUCGUCUCUGACAGAGGCGUCACAACCGGGCUGCUAUUCCAGAAAACGUCGUUGGAAAGAACUAUUGAGCUUCUUCAACUUUUACCUUUAGCAAUUUGUGUUAAAAAAAAGAGCCAUAUUUACUUUAUUUCUAACAAAAAUAAAUACUUUUUUUUUUUAAUUGUGCAGAUUGCACCGGUUAUAAGGAAGGGUAAAACAUCAAAAUUACAUAUAAUAUACUCUCACCGUUUCAAAAUGUUACAUAUUCUAGAAAAAAAAUUUGUUCCAAGAAGAUUUAUUUUGUGCAUUUUCAAUGCAUAUUCUAUUAACAAAUUGCAAAUUUCAAAAAAUUUAAUUGCACUUAUUAGAUUUUUAUUAGUUUAAUAUUAUGGAAAAAAGAUAAUCACAAAAAAUAUGCAAAUUUAAUGUGUUUUAUUAAAAUAUGUGAAAAGUUUAGAAUAUGUAACAUUUAGAAACAGACGGAGUUAUAUAUAUCGGUUAGAUUUAGGGUAAAUGAAUAAAUGUAUAGAUAAUGAAUUAUAAUAUUUUUGUGCGCUACUAGGUGCAAAUUCCCAAACUAGUAAACGAUUGUUUUUGGAUACACCAGAACAGUUAUUGGCCGUUCUUAGCGUAUUUUGCAGAGUCUCCAACUCUCAUUUGACGUGUAUAUUAUUUCCGUGGACCGUGGCUCAAUUGACAAAUAAUCAAAUAAGCUAUAACCGUUACUGUUUUUAUUUGUGUGUUGAAAGUGUUUUCAUAAUCAAUUUGAUCCCUUGCUUAUAAUGGGUCUGACUAAGCGAUUACUGUUUGCUAGACAUCCAAAUUCGUAAAAACCAUUUGACAUGUUCAAAUUACUAAAAGGUUUGAAGACGGAUAUUGAUGUAGAUAGAUAUUUAGAAUAAACAUCUUAAUUAUUUAGUGUUUUAUUUAUUAUUUGGAUAAUUAUCUUUAAUGUUUUAGGGUUUUAUGAUUUCUUAUAUAUAAGAGUAUUUUUUUAACACUGAUUUUUAUUAUGAUAUUACAAUUAUGAUAUGAGAAAGAUUACAUAGGCGCUUCGACAACUGACAAUACUAUCUGUCUUAUGAAGACUUAUGUCUAACUGCAUCACCUGAGCCGUCAUAUGAAGAUCCACGUCUGGCCAGAUUUACUUGCACCAUGUUGAAGAUUCCUUGUAAGCAUUUCUUCUGUAGUUUGCAUAAUUGUUUAAUAAACUGCUCUCUCCGGGAUUUGAAACCUGGAUUUCAUGUAAUCUGCAAUAAAUUGCAUAGUCUGGGAUUCGAAUCCCAGACUUGAGUGUAGAAGCCUUUAAACCUUAAACAGUAUGAUAUGGUGCUUCCACGUAUAUAGCCGUCUAUGCUUAAGUUUCUAUUGAUUUUGAUUGAUUAAUAGAUAUGAGUUUUCUAAAAAGGUUUCUAUAAACCAUUGAGAAGAGUAUUCUCAACCCUAAGAGUUUUUGAUUAAGCAUUGUGAAAAGUAUUCAUAAACCUUAGUUUCCGGGUAUUUUUAGAAUCAACGGAUCUAGUUAUAUCCCUAGAAGCUUCCGCUACAUCAGUUGGUAUCUGAGCUGCGUUUUUUUUAUUUCUCAAUCGAAGACGAUUCUGAAUGUCAUGGUGAGUAUAAGCAUCUAUUCUAUCAUGGACGAAAUUUCUUUUGUUGAAAGAGAAGUGAACCAUGAGAUCUAUGGUGAUCCAAUCUAUGAUAUAUAUGAAGGACACGAUGUCCUUCAUAUUGACUUUGUUUUCAAAGAGGGUUUCACUGAAAUUUCGCGUGCAAAGUUAGGGCAAAAUCGUAUUGGUGAAGAUUUUGUGCAGAAUGUUAAUAAUCUGUUGGGUGCAAAUUUUGUGCGAAAACGAAUUUGCGAAGAUUCAAGUUACAAACAGAUCUGUGUAAAAAUCGUACAGAACAUGCUAUUGAAGAUUCAAGGAAGAGUUUUUAUUAGAAAACGUUUUGGAUUCGAAGACUACAAUCAAGAUUCGAAGACAAAUCUUCUCCAAUCCGGAACGAAUGAUGUAGAUAGAUAUUUAGAUAUGUAGAUAGAAUAAGUAUCUUAAUUAUUUAGUGUUUUACUUAUUAUUUGGAUAAUUAUCUGUAAAGUUUUAGGGUUUUAUGAUUUCUUAUAUAUAGCCGUCUAAGCUUAAGUUUGUAUUCAGAUUUUGAUUGAUUAAUAAAAAAGAGUUUUCCUAAAAGGUUUCUAUAAACCACUGAGAAGAGUAUUCUCAACCCUAAGAGCUUUUGAUUAAGCACUAUGAAAAGUAUUCACAAACCCUAGUUUCCGGAUAUUCUUAAAAUCAACGGAUCUAGUUCUAUCCCUAGAAGCUUUGGUUACAUCAUAUAUCUCGAUAACUAUCUAAAUGUUUGCCAAUCUAAGACAUCUGAUUACACCUCUCAUAUUUUACAACGUAACACUUGAACCAAAAAGAAAGUUUCGACUUAACCGUAAAAAAUCUUGGAAAAUUACCAAAAAUACUACAUUUCUAAUACCAUUUUUUAUGUUUAUUUCAACCAUUUUUAUUUUCAGUUUUAAAAAGGGAAAAUGACACAUAUAACUCUAUGGUUAAUUAAUCCAGACUUAUGAUUUAGAGCUAAGGGGUGGGGUAGGAUUUUUGGAAUGUGGAGUUUCUGAUUCUAAUGAAUAUAUAAAUAAAUACUUAAAAAAAUUAUUUUUCAAAAAGAAAAUUUGAAAGAAAACAAUCCGAAAAAUUCAAAUUUUAUUUUUAUACAAAAAUUUGAAUGUAAAAAAGAAUAAUUUGAAAACAUAAAAAAUAUAUAUAUAUAUUUUUUAAUGUAUCAUGGGUAUAAAGAGUCUUUUGUGUUUUAAUGAAGAAUAAUUUUUGAAAAUGUCUCUUUAGUGAAAGUAAACAUGAAUAAUGGUAACAAUAAAGUAGUAAACAUGAAAAUUUCCUAGAAAUUUUUGUAACUUUUAAAACCUUUAAUGACACAUCUCAUAUUUUCCCUCAAAAUAAAAUAAUUUCAAACUAAAUUUUAAAUUGUGCUCCAAUAAUUCUUCUCAUUUAUCUCCUACAAAAAUAGUCCAAAAUAUAUUUCUUAUUGAUACUUGUUAUUAAAUUAUAAUAUAUAUUACGUUUAACAAAAUAUAAUAAUUUAAUUGAAGUAUUUAUUAUAUAUAUAAUUUUAACUUUUAGCAAAAUAUAUAAUGAUUCAUAUGAACUUAUAAUUGUGUGAAUGAAAAUAUUAAUAAUUUUGUUAAAGUAUUAAAUAAAAUAAUGAUUUUUUAGAUAUAAAUAAAACUAUACAAUAGUUUAAGAAUUAUCAAAAUGAGUAUAUUAAUAGUGUUCCUUCAAACUUAGUAUAUCAAUAUUCAUAAAUAUAUUUCUUACAAAAUGAUGUAUCAUCACCUCAUUUUUAAUGUUUCCCUGUAAAAUGAAGGAUCAUUGAAGAUGGUGUUAGAAAGUUUAAACACACUUUAGGAAGUAAAAAACUGCUGCCUGAAAAAUGAUCAUGGUAUGUACUACUAAUUGAGCAGCUAUCUUAGAACGUUCAAACACGCUUUUGGAAAUAAGAAAAAUGUUCCCCACAAAUUGAUAAUGUCGUAUAUGUAACUGAUUGAACAGCUAUAAUUCGUAGUAGAGGAAAAAGGUGUGCUAAUUGAAAACCAUUAAACACAAAAGAGUACUGAACACAAUAUACACUAACACUAAUUAACUACAAAUAUGAAUUAAAAAAAUGUAAAGUAAUAGUGAGGAACAAGACACGACUAAAAAGUUUUAUGUUCAAAAGAUUAAUAAAUAAAAUGGAUAGAUUUAUGUAUUUCUUAGAAAGGAGACGGUAAAUAUCUUUAUCAUUUGAAAAACAAUUGUGAAAAUAGUUGAUUGUUUCUGGAGAUCACCACAACAGCAAAUCAUCUGCAGACGUACAGUGUAGGUUAUGCCUUAUGUACGAAAUUGUUUUAAGUAUAUACUCCAUCUGUUUCAUAAUAGAUAAAGUUUUGGUUCUUUGCACAUAUUUUAAGAGAUUAUCUUUUUUAAAUAAAAAAAUCAUUAAAAUAUAAUUUAAAACUAAUUUAUUUAAUUAUAAACAAAAAUAAUAGAAAUAUAAUUGAUUAUGAUAAAUUUAAAGUUAUCUAUAUAUGUGAAAACAUCAUCUAUUGUGAAACAAAAAUAAUCACCAAAAAAAUCAUUUAUAUCGAAACGGAGGGAGUAUAUUAUAUCAUCCCCGUUGAUUUAUUAGUUGAGUGUGAAUAUUGAUGAAGUCGACAUAAAAAGGUGACAACUUGUAGAUGAUUUUAUUUCUUUCUGUAAUUCCCAAAGUCCAAAGAAGUCAUAUAUUAGUCUUAAAAUUAGUCUUCUUUUUUUGUGUGUGAAAUAGUAGGCUUAAAGUUGUUUUUCUUUAAUAUAGAAAAAGAAACCACUACAUCAACCCUGUACACAGUACAGAGAUUCUAGCAACAAAGUUAAUUUUUGACCAAAAAAAGAGUUAAUUUGUUACAAGGUAAUAAAUCAAAUUCAUAUUCCAUCAUAUAUAUGUGACUUUUUAGAAAUAAAACUAAUUCAUAUGCCACUCUUGAUUUUUUUGUUUGCCAAUAACUCUUUGGACAAGUGAGUUUUUGUCAGACUUUAUAUAAAAGGAAAAUUAGCGAAAUGUACAUAAUGAAAGAAAAAUAUCAUGAAUUAACAAUGUUUCAUUUUAUACGCCGUUCUAAGUUUUUGAUACAUAUUAAGAAAAUCAUUAAAAUUUAUGUUUUAUCUCUAAUUAAUAUAUUAUUUUAUUUCAUUAUGUUAAUUGGUGAGCUUAAAAAUAUAAUUUAGAACACUAUCAAAUAAAUGUAUUGAUAACAUAAAGUGAUAUUUAAAAUUAAAUAAAUUUUAAACUUUAAGAGGCCAAUUAAUUUGAACGGAAGGAUAAUAGUUUGUAUAGGAUGUGGCAAUUUGUCACACACAAUCAUUCAUUUUUUAUCUUAUCACAUGCGUCAAAACGCACGAGUUAUCUCUAAGACCAUAUGCAAUAGACAUAUUGAAUAUUUGAUUCAACAUGUUGAAAGCAAAAACAAUGGGUCCAACAAAGUUAGAUAUCUAUUUCAUAUUGGAUGUUUCUGAUUUUUGUUUUUCUUAUUCUAUCCUAAUUAUUUGACAUUAGUUAUUUAUAACAACUUAAUUUAAAACUUCCAUUUUUUAUUUCAAUAUUCAUAAAAUUUUAUAAUCUAUAAAUAGACUCUUUUUUGUUUGAUUUGGAUAUAAAAACUUUUUUCUAAUUUAAUAUGUGUUUUAUUCGUUAUUUUGUUUUUUUUUUUAUUUGAAGUUUCGUAAUUUUUUUUAACUAAUACUAAUCUUAGUAUUAUUUAAAAAGUUAUCUAAAAAUAUUAAUAAAAAAUAAAAUAAAUUUUAUUUAAAAUUAUGUCAUUUUAGUUAUUUAAGUUAAAAUGAUCAUCAUUAUUAUUAAUAUAUAGUUUUUAAUAUAUAUAUAUAUAUAGUUGUAAAUUAGAAAAGAUAAAAAAUAAUUGAAAAUUAUGGGAUAAGGUUUGAAUUUUAUUAAACAAAACUAUAGUAAAUAAUAAAAAUGAAGCAAGUGUUGAAUAAUUAGGUGAAAAAAAAGAGAAAAUUAUGUGGAGUGUUAAAAGAGAAAAAGAGGAUGUUGAAUUAUGGAAACCAUUGUUGAUAGUCUUACAAUAACACCAUGUUCAUAAUAGAUAAAACUAAGAAAAAGUGUAUACUUACGUUUGCUUAUGGCUCGUUCAUUUAAUUUACUGAUAUUAUAUAUAGUUGAAAUUAUUCAGAGCAAAUUUCAAAUUCGAUAACUUACAUCUCACUGGAAAGACAGAUAUUUGCCAGACCCCAUCUAGUAUCCAACUAGAAUAGACGAAAUUUGAUUUAGCAUGGACUUUGAACGAGGAGAAAAGAUUGAAUUAAACUUUCUAAAAAAGAAGAACAUUGAAUUAAUUCCUUUUUUUUGAAAAAAUAUUGGAUUAAUUCUUUUGUCAACAAAAGAAAGAACUUUUUUUUUUUUGAUAAGUAUAAGUUUUAGUUGUUAUGAUUUUGUUGACUAAAAUUAAAAGUUGUUAAUAUGGCCGACACGAUCCAACUUUUAUUUCACUUACUUUUUUCUUCUUUGUUGGUUGUUCAUAUCUCGUUGUAACUAUUCCAUGCAGCUGAGAUAUUAAAAAAAAAAAAUCUUGAAUUUAAUUAGUUAACCAAAAGUUAGAUCUUGCUUGGAUACUUUUAUAGACGUCGAUCUAAUCAGCAAGCCAUCUAUAUUAUAUAUUUUUUUGUAGGGAUGUUAAUUAUAAUGGUUCUGUUCGCGAGUUUUUAAUGAGUUUUAAAAGGGUAAUUUUGUUAAGACUCAUUUAUUAAAUGAUUUCUACUUAAAAUUAGUGGACACUUGUUAACUCAUUUAACUUAAUAUAAUUGAUUAUUAUUUUUUGUAGGAAAAUAUGAUUGUAUAGUUUUAGCGAAAAAACAAGAUUUUACGAUUUAUGCGGAAACAUUCCGAUUUUACAGUUUUAGCAAAAAAAAAAUUGGAUUUUGUAGGUGAAAAACACAUUUUCUGGUUUUGGCAGGAAAAUAUGAUUAUGGGGUAUUGGCGAGAAAGCUCGAUUUUGCGGUUUUAACGGGAAAACUCGAUUUUGCGGUAUUGACGGAAAAACUUGAUUUUACGGUUUUUGGCUGGAAAACUCGAUUUUAUGGUUUCGGCGGGAAAACUUGAUUUCACAGUUUUAGCGGGAAAAAUCAAUUUUGCGAUUUUGACGGGAAAACUCGAUUUUACAUUUUUUGCGGGAAAAUCUGAUUUUGUGUUUUGGCGAGAAAACUCGGUUUUACUGUUUUGGGGGGGAGGGGGGCUCGGUUUUACGGUUUUGGUGGAAAAACUUGAUUUUGCGGUUUUAGCGAAAAAAUCAAUUUCGUGGUUUUAGAAGAAAACUCGAUUCCACGGUUUUACCAGAACAAUUUGAUUUGCGUUUAUAUAAUAAAACUCGGUCUAAUUAGUAAGCCAUCUAUAUUAUGUGUUUUUGCUUUUUGGACUGAAAUGUCUUUCUUUGGUGCAAAAUUAAAAUUUUAUUACAUUGAAAUGAUAAAUUUACUUAUCAACUUCAUAUGCUUUCGAAAAAAAAAAUUACUUAUCAACUAUAUACAAUAUCUUCUAUGCAAGAUUAAUUCCAACGUAGAACGUGAAAGAAAAACUAUUUUUAGUUGCCAAUUAUGCGAUAAAAGCGAAUUCACUCCACAAUUCCUUUUUAAAACACGAAACUGUAUUAAAAAACAGAGUUCAUCACAAACUAGGAUGAAACCGAAGUUGCAGCCUUGCAGGUCCCGAGCCAGUAAACCAUCUGGAUUGGUGACUAUUCUCCAUGCUUGCUUGGCUAAUAAUGGUGUGUGAAACAUACAAUACCGACACACAUGAAGCUGAUGAACUUAUGAUGCAUGAGGUAGUAUUUUUAAACUAGAAGAACGUCUUACCUGAAAAAUAUGAGACAAAUUCCGGUGAAGAUAAUAUAUGGUAUCUUGAUAAUGGAGCAAGCAAUCAUAUGACUGGAGAUCGAAGAUGUUUUUCUAGAAUCGACAACACCAUUACAGAAAAAAUCAGAUUCAGGAUGAUUCACGAAUAUAUAUCAUAGGGAAAGGAACGAUAUCAUUCACUGAUAUGAAUGGAGAAUCGUGAAAGAUGACAGAUGUUUACUUCAUUCCUGAUCUCAAGAGUAAUAUCAUCAGCUUAGGACAAGCUACAGAAGCAGGAUGCGACAUAAGGCUAUGAGGAGAAGAGUUAACAAUGCAUGAUCAACAUGGAAAAAUACUUGUGAAGCAAAAACGGUUGAAGAACAGACUAUACAAAGUUCAUAUAGGAGUGAGAUGCAAUGCACACCUAUAUAUGAUGUCAACUAGCGAGUAGAAACGUUGGCACACACGAUUAGGACACAUAAACUCAGGGUCAUUGAAAGGUAUGAUACAGAAAGAGCUAGUACUUGACAUGCCGAAGAUUCGCAUAUCGAGCAAGCGAGACACUUGAGCUGCUUCACGGAGAUUUAUGUGAACCCAUAACACUUAGCUCACCUACUGGAAACAUGUAUAUUUUUGUUGUUAUUGAUGAUCAUACCAGAUAUAUGUGGAAAACAUUGGAUGCUUGCGAUACAUUCUCCACACACGACCUGAUCUCUCUUAUAGUGUAGGAGUUAUGUCACGGUCCAUGCAGAGUCCGAGGGAGUCGCACGGUAUUGUGAUGAAACAGGUUAUGAUAUAUUUGCGUGGAAGUGUCUCGUAUGGGCUAACUUUUGAGCGAUCAACACAAGGAGUACCAAAACUUUUAGGUUACAGUGACAGCAGCUAUGUGUCUGAUCCAAAUGAUGGGAGAAGCACUACAUUCCAUAUCUUUUACCUUGGAGAGAGUCCAAUCACAUGGUGCUCGCAGAAACAUGACACCGUGGCACUGUCAUAUUCUGAGGCUGAAUUUAUGGCGGGAACAGAGACUAGACAAGCUAUUUGGUUACAGAAUCUACUAUGUGAAAUCACGAAUCAAGUAAGUGAAAGAGUGAUUAUUCGAAUUAAUAAUCAGUCUGCAAUUGCUUUGACAAGAAACCCGGUCUUCCAUGGAAAAAGUAAGCAUAUACACAAGAGAUACCAUUUUAUACGAGAAUGUGUGGAAAAUGGAAAUGUUGGAGUAGAGCACGUACCUAGAUACAAACAUAAAGCUGAUAUCUUGACAAAGGCUCUAGGGAGAUAUAAGUUUAAAGAGAUGAGAGACUUCAUUGGCAUGAAGAACUUGGCGACAGAGAGCUUCAAGCUUAAAAGGGAUAAUAUUGGAUUAAGUUUCAAGUAGUUUUAGAUACAAUCUACCUAAUCCUGUGGUUAUCUAAGAAGAUUAGAAAAUAUCUUAUUGUGUUAUUUCUAAUGAAUUUAAGAAGUUUAGAGUUAUAUAUAAGAAGAUGCAAGAGUGUUGCAUAACUUAUGAGUUUGUGAUUGAGAGCUUAAGGUUUUGAGAGAGUUUCUUUAAAAGAUUAAUAAGAAAAGUUUUCAGAUUCAUUCGAGAGUUACAUACGAGACUUGAUUUCUAGAUAUUGUCCCUAAGAAAUACAAGUUUGUUUCUAAACUAAAAGAAAAUAACCUUUUUAACAUUAAAAAAACAUUUCAAAUCAAUUGAUGAAAAUAUUUAGGUAAAAUAAAAUGUUAAUUAAAUCGAACCAACGAAAAUUUUAGUUGAGUUAUAUUUUUAUAUAAUAUAGUAAAAAGCUACAAUCACAAAUCCAAAUGAAGCUAAAAAUGGACCGGACGUUAAGGUAUAUGUUAGAAUCUUGAUUCUCAUUCUCACCAUGGUUUUUUGCGUUCAAAUAUCAGGUGACUGACCAUAGUCCGUAGUAUCAAUCAUUUUAUAAAAUUUAAAAUAGUGUUUGUUACAAUAAUACUCUCUCUCUCUUUCUUUUUAUAUGAUCUUUUAGAAGAUAUUUUUGUUUCAAUAUAUAUGUUUUGAAACUUUUAUGUAAAACUAUUAAAAUAAAUGAUUACAAUAUUAAAUGUUAAUAUGUUGUUUUUGUUUUAUUAGUUCAGAAUAGCAAUGAUUAGUAAUUUUUGAUUACUUUUUUGUUGUAAUCAAGUGUCUUUAGUAAAACUAUUUUGUUAAUUUGUGUGGUAAAGCUAAAACAUCGUAUAAAAAAAACAGAGGGUAUAUAGAUAGGGUAUGAUUCACUGUGUACUGCAUUAAUAUGCAUAAAGUUCCCGACCAUAUAUUUGAUGUGACUUUAUUAUAUAUUAAUGUAUGGUCCACUUCUCGCUAAUGUCUCUUAAUCAUAACAUUUCUUUUUCGGGGAAUGUUUUAUUCACUUAAACAAGAUAAGUCACUUUCUAACCAUCAGUAAUCUUCCUUAAGGCCUGUUUAUUACCCUAAUCAUUUUUUGGGAUUCGGAUUUCCCUUAUAAUGUUUUAUUCAUUUAAACAAGAUAAGUCAUAUAAUGUCUCUAGAUGUUGUGUUAAGAUGACAAUAUUUUCAUUUCCCAGUAAAUGUCUACAUCAAUCCUUUUCAUUUAAGCUUUAUAAAGUAUCAAACAGUGAUGAUUGGUUUCACUGUGGCUUUAAAAAUUUAGAUGUAGAUGUUUAGCUAUAGAUAAAUCGGUUGUAGCUGUAAAGUUGUUACUGUAGAUUUUUUCUGCAGAGACUUUUGCUGUAGUUAAAUUUGUUGUAGCUGUAAGAUGUAGGCUGUAGAUAUUUCAAAAUAAAAUAUAUGAAAUAUGUAUGUAGAGUGUUUGUCUAAAAUACAUAAGAAAAAGUUUUGCUUUAUUUUUUUAUUGUACCUUUAAAAAUAAAGCUAAAUUAUGAUUGGUAAAACUAAAUAAAAACUUGAUGUAGACUUUAAUUUUUAAAAGUAAAGCUACAACAUGAUUGGUAAAAUUUAGUGAUUUAAAAAUAAAUAAAGCUAAAGUAAGGAGAUAAAGCUCAACCAAUCACCCUCCAAUAAACAAUGUUGUUAUGUUUUUUUGUUAGGUUUUUGUUUAAACUGUUGACCUUGGACCUUAAUAUUUUCAGUAUUUCAGUCCCGUCCGUAGAUAUUAUAAUUUUAUUUUUAACAUUAAUUGGUUAACAUGAUCAAAUACAUGUUAGCAAAAUGAUUAAAUUUUCGAUAUAUGCUAAAAAUAUAUUUUAUAAUAAAAUACUUAAUAUUUAGUAAUAAUUAGAAUAUAAUAAUAGUUACAAUUAAGUUAUAUACUUAUUAAAAUAUAAUAAUAAUUAGAAUUAAGUUAUAACUUAUUUUUACUAUAUACUUUUUUAAUAAUUAUCAACUUAUAAUAUUUGAUAAAUUAAAAUAUUUUAAAUGUAUGAUUUAUUAAUAUUAGUUAAUGAAAGUAUCUAAAAACUAAAAAUGUAUAUUAUGUUACAAAUAUUUUUUUUUUUUUUUUUUGUCACAAAUAUUAUGUUACAAAUAUAAAAACCUACUUCUAGUAACGAAUGGUAUAUUCCUGUUUGUUUAUUUCCGAGUUGCCUACAAGUCAAUUUUUUGGCACGAUAUUGGAAUCUUGUUUCUCAUUCUCACCACAAUUUUCAACCUUCAAAUUGGCUCAAGUAAUCAGGUGACUGACCAAUACUCCAUACUCCAUAAUAUCAAUAAUUUUCUUUUCUUUUUUAGCAACUGUAUCAAUCAUUUUCUAAAAUUUAAGAUAAUGUUUAUUACAAUAAUUUAAUAAUGUGGCUCACUUUGUACUACAUAAUUAAUGGAUAGAGUAAGUCUCCGACCAUUUAUUUGAUGUGACUUUAUUAUAUAUUAAUGUAUGGUCCAGCCAUCGCCUUGCGAAUGUGUCUUAAUCAUAAUAUUUCUCUUCCGGGGAACGUUUUAUUCACUUAAACAAAGAUAAUCACUUUUUAGCCAUAAUUAGUCUCCCUAAAUGCUUGUUUAUUACCCUAAUCACUCUUCUAGGAUUCGAAUUUUCCUAAUAUAAUGUCUCGUAAAUGUAGUGUUAAGAUGAUAAUAUUUUUUUUUCCCAAAUGUCUACAUCUAUCCUUUUUAUAAAAAGCUUUAAUAAAUAUCAAACAAUAAACAACAUCAUUAUGUUUUUUAUCCAAACUGUGGAAUUUAGUGUUUUUGGAUCCAUAAUCUUCUUAGUAUAAAUCUCUAGUUAUUAUAUAAAUUUUUGUUUCUUAAAUUAUACUUCUUUUUUCUUAAAUUAUACUUCUAUAAGAAGUUAUAUAAUUAUACUUAGUAAUUACUACAGUUGCCGCAUAUGACGGUCAAUUGAAUACUAGAUUUUAACACAUAAAUUUUAAUUAUUUAUCAAUUAUAAAAAAGAUUUUUGUUGGUUUUGUCUAUGGGUUAUAAAAUUUCUUAUUAUAUGAACGUAGACACAUUGAAUGUAAAUGUGACAUGUUGCAACAAUUCUGUCAUAAUUCUAAGAAAACUAAGUUUCAUACCAUAAAAGAUAGAAAUAUAUAACAUCACAAGCUCUAGUCUCAGUGUGAGGUUGCUAUUUGUAUCCCUUUAUUACCUUCGUGUGAGGUUGCUAUUUGGAUUUCUAUCUUGUUAGCUCUGUUUUCUAUCUCUUCAGCUCUGUCCGCAGGAAAUAUAGGACUCGUUUAUUCAAAAAGCACAACUGAGCUUUUGACUCCAUGUUUGUUUAAUUGGCGGUGGAGGUUCUCAUAACUCCGUAACUCUUUGCCAGCGAUGUUCUCCUCACAGUUCUCUGGCUUAAUUAGGUGGUGCGUGUUCGCCUCUGAGGUUUUAGCCGUGACUUCUGUUGCUCCUUAUGCACUAGUUGCUGCAACACUUCCAGGAAGUAGAUCACUGAAUUAUGGUCUCUGAUUCCCAGAGCUUCUACUCUUAUUUUAGCAUUAAUGAUGUCUUUAGUUGCUUAAUUGAGUUGCCUAUCUGUUUUUCUUAUGCCUUCCGCUCGGCUUGACUAUUGUAGCUGCGGUUCUGUUAGCUAUUUUGGUUCCUUUUUUUUUGGAACACCCAUCUUGGCUUAUUUAACUUCUUAUCACAAGAUACAAAAUUAAACAGAUUAAUAUUUACAUUAGUUUGAUCCAGUUUAAAAUAAUAUAAAUCUAAAGUGUGUGUUUUCAAUCUCUUUUAUUCAUAUAAAAUAAUGGACUUUAAGGUUUUUGAAUAUUUUCUUAAUUAUGAUUUAUACAACAUAUUUUAGAUAAUUGAAAAUAAGUCUCAGUUCAAAUGUUAAUUAUAUAGAUAUGAUUACGUAAAUUAUCAAUUUAAAGUUUAUUUUUAACUCGCGUAUCAUGAGUAUAUUUUAAUCUAAUCUAUUAAAAGAGAAGUACAAAAUAAAAAUACCCAUUAGUUUUGCAAGUUAUUUAUACUCCAAUGUCAUUGAUAUAUUUAAUGGAUAUAUCUUUAAAUUUUCUUUGCCUUUUACAUAUUAAUAAAUGUAUGUCUUAAAUCUAUUUUGAAACAGAAAAAAUAUCUAAAGCUUAAAAUUAACUCCACAAAGUAUUUCUAAUAUCAAGAACAUUCCAAAUUAAGGCAUCCCUAAUUUAUUGCUGUCAAUUUCUGCAAUUAAAUUAUUUCUUUGUUUUAAAUUAAAAUUCUGUAAAAGUGUAAAGAAAACAAAAAAAAACCUGUUUUCAAAUUAAUAAUCUCUUUAAUUCGGAAGAAAUUAGAACUUAUAUUCAUGUUUAUUGUCGAGUUACUUGCAAGUCGCAUUUGGGAUAAUCAAGAAGACAAAGCCAAUCUGACAUCGAGCACAUGGUUAGACUUGCUCUUCAUACUCUAUCACAACUUCUACUCAAGAGCAGGUGUGACUGACAAACAAAGUAUAUAAGACAAACAGAGAGAAACACAUCUAAAUCAUGUAUUUCUUCAAAAAUUCAAGUAAAAUAUCUGAGAUUUGAGAAAAAAUGAAGAAGAAUAAACACAAAAUCUAAGUUCCGUGGUGUACAUAAACGGU